UUACAAGUGAGUGGAUAAAUGGUGAGAAUUUAUCACCCCUUUGAAUAUCAGGAAGAAGACAACGAUGCCCACUCUGUUACCACCUCUAAUCAGCACUGCACUAGGGGUUCCGACCAGUGUAGAAAAGCAAAAAACAAAACAAAAAUAAAAACAUAAAGUAAAAAUCCAGAACAACAGGAAUGGGAAAGAAAACCCAUUACUCAUAGAAAACAUGACUGUGUGCCUAAAAAUGAGGAAACAGCUACAGGCAAAUGAUUAAAAUUACUAGACUGCCGGAUACAAAUUAAUACACAAAAAUGAAUUUCCAUGAAAUGGCAACACAUAAUUAGGAAAAUGAAAUCCAAGCACAUUUUUAAAAACAGCAUCGCAAAAUAACAAGGACCUAGGAUUAAAUGUAACAAAAGACAUACAAGACCACUGUGAAAAGUAUCAGGCUGUAUGAACACCCGCUGAAGGAGCCCUAACAUUUGGAGAGACAGAUACCAUGUUCAGAGCUUGUAAAACCCAGUACUGCAAGUACGUCAAUGAUUCCCAAGUUGAUCUACAGGUUCAACACAAUCCCAAACAAAAUCCCAACUCGACCGGCUAGUUCUAAAAUGUAUGAAACACAAAGGGUCAAAAACAGCCAAGACAUCCUAACAUAAGAUGGAGGUACGCGCCCCAGAGUGUGUGGUAUUGGCAGAGACAGACAAGGAGAUGCAGAAACGGACACAGAGAUCAUCCUGACAAAGGAAUCUUCAGCAGCCGGGACUGGGAAAACUGGGCUUAUGUCUGCAACACAAUGAAACUGGAUCCUUAAGCUUCACAACAGGCGCAAAAAUCAAUUCUGGGUAGAAUCUAUAUCUAAAAUCCAAAAUAUACAAAACUAUAAAAUCCUUUGGAAGGUAACAGAGUAUCUUUAUGAUCAAGGCAAAGUAAAGAUUAUUAAAAAUUAGGAUCCAAAAUGCUUUAAUCAUAAAAGAAAAUAUUGAUACAUUGGGCCAUAUUAAAGUUUAAAAUUUCUCUUAAAAGACACCAUUGAAGUAAAAAGACAAGAAAAGCUAUUUGCAAAUGUAAUUCACAAAGCACUACUACCCAGAAUCAUAAAUAACACCUGCAAAUAAAUGAGACAGACCAUCCAAUAGAAAAGUAGGGAAAAUACUUGAAUAGGUACUUUACAAACAGGAAAUCCCAAUGAGCCGCAGACACAUGAGAAGGUGCUGAACAAGGAGAAGCCAAUGAAACCAGAAAGAGGUCUACCCCACACGUUCCACCACCCCGCGCCCUCCGCCACCCCGCGCCCUCCACCACCCCACUCCCUCCACUACCCCACACCCACCGGAGUGAAGGUGCUAACACUUCAGGCAAUGGGUGCUGAAAACAUGGACCGGCAGACGUGGUCAUACACAACUAGCAGUCGGGCCUGCGGGUACCACCACUUUGGAACAGUUGGGAAUUUCUAGUAAACCUGUUAAAAACAUGGUUAAGCAGUUAAUGGAAACGUGAACAUAAUGGGAUAUAAAACUAAUGAAAAAAAUCAAAUGGAGUUUUUUUGUUUUUUUUUUGAGACGGAGUCUUGCUCUGUCGUCUAGGCUGGAGUGCAGUGCUGCAAUCUUGGCUCACUGCAACCUCCGCCUCCCAGGUUCAAACGAUUCUCCUGCCUCAGCCCCCCAAGAAGCUGGGACUACAGGUGCCCACCACCAUGCCCAGCUAAUUUUCAUUUUUAGCAGAGAUGGAGUUUCGCCAUGUUGGCCAGGCUGGUCUCAAACUCCUGGCCUCAAGUGAUCCUCCUGCCUCAGCCUCCCAAAGUGCUGGGAUUACGGUGUGAGCCACCCCGCCUAGCCUCAAAUGGAAUUUUAGAACAAAAAUAUACCUAAUUUCUGAUAUAAAAAAUUCACUAUACAAGCUUAACAUCAAAUUAGGCAAGUGGAAGAAAAGAUUAGUAAGCCUCGCAACAGGACAAUAAAACCACCUAAAGGAAAGGAUGAGAGAACAAGGAUGAAAAAGCAUCACGUUUAGUGACCUGAGAGACAGUAUCACAGUCUAACAGAAAGCUAACUAGAGUCCCAGAUGGGGACAGGGAGGAAGAAGUGAGAGACGGGGUCAGACAAGAAAUAUGAGUAGUGGCUGCAACUUUGCCAAAUCUGGUGAAAAAUAUGAACUCACAGGUCCAAGAAGCUCAAUGAAACCCAAACGAGGUAAGCAUCUAUAAGCUUAAAGUGGAUUAAUAUUAACAUCUUCUAAUACUCUUACAUACAUAAAUUACGUGAUGACAAAUUAACCCCAUCCCAACCCUACAGAAAAUAAAUUUGGUAUGACACAUUUUCCUGUUAGGACCACAACUGGACAGAGAGGUGACACAAGAGGGCAGCCUGAAGCCUAGCAAGUCCUCUUCGGGGAAGAGACAGCAGAGUCCCACCUCUGAUUUCCCCAGGGAUACAAUCCACACGCACACACACACACACACAGAAGCACACACACACACAGCUAGCAGACACACACAGCUAGCACACAAGCACACACAUAGCAAGUGCACACACACAGCAAGGGCACACACACACACAGAGCUAGCACAGAGCAUUUUCUUCUUAGGCCUGCUCAUUCUUCCCAAAUCAGUUGAACGUCAUUUAAAAAAUGACCUUGUCUUACCAAUCACAGCAAGUAUGACAUAAGAUAUGAAGUUUCCAAACUAAAAAUCUAGUUUUGUGUCCUAUUAUGACAUAAUUUUCAGAACUACACUGCAAACAAGAGAGCGAGCCAGGGCUUGGGUAGAUGUUUCCGCUGUGAUAUGUUAAUAUCAUAAGACAAUAUUUUUAAGGUUUUUUCCCCCACAUCUAUAAGUGUCACUUGUGUUAAGUCUUUGAACUUAAUUAUUCCCACUCACCUAUCAUGGUGCACAGCUUGUUCUAUAAAAAACUCAAUGACAAACUCAGUUAUAA
rnacentral:lncRNA from 10 species